GGGGAUGACUAGGUUUCGACUAGGGAUGUGGGGUGUUGCGCUGCAGGUGGAGUGUCGAUCUCCUGAUUCGGCGCCUUUAUAACUGCCAAUUCUGACAGUUUCGACUACGCGCUCGCCGCGUAAUCGCGGGCCUGUGUUUGCGCUGCUCUGAGCGAACAUAUCGGCCCGACGCCAAACGGAGCUUGCUCUUACGUUGUGCACGGCGGACGUAGGGGGACUUUUGUCUGUGCUAAGACUCUGGCGCGUGCGGUGCAGGCCUAGCAGAGUCCGACAAACGCAGUACGCACCGCUAAACCUGUAGGCGCGCAGCACUCGCUCUUUAGGACGGGGGUUCGAUUCCCCCCAUCUCCACAA
rnacentral:tmRNA from 19 species